UUAAAUUGAAGGGUUUGAUCAUGGCUCAGAUUGAACGCUGGCGGCAGGCCUAACACAUGCAAGUCGAACGGUAACAGAAAGAAGCUUGCUUCUUUGCUGACGAGUGGCGG
rnacentral:rRNA from 1 species